rnacentral:rRNA from 1 species
AGAGUUUGAUCAUGGCUCAGAUUGAACGCUGGCGGCAGGCCUAACACAUGCAAGUCGAACGGUAGCACAGAGAGCUUGCUCUCGGGUGACGAGUGGCGGACGGGUGAGUAAUGUCUGGGAAACUGCCUGAUGGAGGGGGAUAACUACUGGAAACGGUAGCUAAUACCGCAUAACGUCGCAAGACCAAAGUGGGGGACCUUCGGGCCUCAUGCCAUCAGAUGUGCCCAGAUGGGAUUAGCUAGUAGGUGGGGUAACGGCUCACCUAGGCGACGAUCCCUAGCUGGUCUGAGAGGAUGACCAGCCACACUGGAACUGAGACACGGUCCAGACUCCUACGGGAGGCAGCAGUGGGGAAUAUUGCACAAUGGGCGCAAGCCUGAUGCAGCCAUGCCGCGUGUAUGAAGAAGGCCUUCGGGUUGUAAAGUACUUUCAGCGAGGAGGAAGGCAUUAAGGUUAAUAACCUUGGUGAUUGACGUUACUCGCAGAAGAAGCACCGGCUAACUCCGUGCCAGCAGCCGCGGUAAUACGGAGGGUGCAAGCGUUAAUCGGAAUUACUGGGCGUAAAGCGCACGCAGGCGGUCUGUCAAGUCGGAUGUGAAAUCCCCGGGCUCAACCUGGGAACUGCAUUCGAAACUGGCAGGCUUGAGUCUCGUAGAGGGGGUAGAAUUCCAGGUGUAGCGGUGAAAUGCGUAGAGAUCUGGAGGAAUACCGGUGGCGAAGGCGGCCCCCUGGACGAAGACUGACGCUCAGGUGCGAAAGCGUGGGGAGCAAACAGGAUUAGAUACCCUGGUAGUCCACGCCGUAAACGAUGUCUAUUUGGAGGUUGUUCCCUUGAGGAGUGGCUUCCGGAGCUAACGCGUUAAAUAGACCGCCUGGGGAGUACGGCCGCAAGGUUAAAACUCAAAUGAAUUGACGGGGGCCCGCACAAGCGGUGGAGCAUGUGGUUUAAUUCGAUGCAACGCGAAGAACCUUACCUGGUCUUGACAUCCACGGAAUUUGGCAGAGAUGCCUUAGUGCCUUCGGGAACCGUGAGACAGGUGCUGCAUGGCUGUCGUCAGCUCGUGUUGUGAAAUGUUGGGUUAAGUCCCGCAACGAGCGCAACCCUUAUCCUUUGUUGCCAGCGGUUAGGCCGGGAACUCAAAGGAGACUGCCAGUGAUAAACUGGAGGAAGGUGGGGAUGACGUCAAGUCAUCAUGGCCCUUACGACCAGGGCUACACACGUGCUACAAUGGCAUAUACAAAGAGAAGCGACCUCGCGAGAGCAAGCGGACCUCAUAAAGUAUGUCGUAGUCCGGAUUGGAGUCUGCAACUCGACUCCAUGAAGUCGGAAUCGCUAGUAAUCGUGAAUCAGAAUGUCACGGUGAAUACGUUCCCGGGCCUUGUACACACCGCCCGUCACACCAUGGGAGUGGGUUGCAAAAGAAGUAGGUAGCUUAACCUUCGGGAGGGCGCUUACCACUUUGUGAUUCAUGACUGGGGUGAAGUCGUAACAAGGUAACCGUAGGGGAACCUGCGGUUGGAUCACCU